ACGGUGGCUCCGCGCUGGCGGCGGGUUCCCCCACAAGGUCUUGGGGAAAGGAGCAUGCGCUGGAAGCUGUGUGCUGUUGGUUUUGAGGAUCUUCAGUAAGCUGAAAGCGGAGAGUCAGGGGCCUUGUGUCCUACCAUGGUAUUUGCUAACGUUUAGAGAGUGCUUCCCCUUGCCGAGCACUGGCAAGAAGGCCCUCACCAGAUGCCAGCACCUUGACAUUGGACUUUCCAGCCUCCAGAAAUAUGAUGUCAGAAGUGGGAUCCGAAGUGGAGCUUCUGGUGACGCCCAGGAGUGCUGAGUGAACACGCAAGAACCCAAAGAUUGGAUCUUCUGAGAACAUCAGAGAAAGACUGUCCUUACCAUCCACACCACAGCAAAACUUUGGAGCCUUGAACAUUGGGUUCAUAAUCUCACAGCUGAGAAAGGUCCCUCCACACUCCUGGAACUGUACACCUAUUGGAACCCUUAAGGUAAAACUAACCAGGAAAGUUUCUCCCCAGAAGGAGAUGGCAUCCUUGUUGUGAACAGCUUUUCCCCACAAGAAUGGAUCAAGACUUCUGCUAUCAUGAGAUUCUUAUCCUUGAAUAUUUUUUCUCUGUUUAUGCCUCUAUGAACAAUAGAAAUGAAAAAGGGGUCUAUUAUGUACACUUAUAGGGUAUAGUUUUAUUUGUGAAUGAUUUUGCAGCCAGCCUUAUACAUGAAUAACUUUAUACUUUAAUAGAUAAAAGAUGAAGGCCCAAUGUAGGUGAGAAACCUUAGUGGUACAUACGUUGCCUCAUAAUCAGUCAAAACACCUCUUAACCCACAUCAUGGAUUAAAGAGAAUAUUGCCAGGAGGCCUUCACUCGUCUAGAAGGACAUCAUUUGUUAGGCCCUUUUCCCAGGAUUUAGGAUGAAAGAGGCAAUAAUUAGAAAUGUCUCCUUCAUAAUAGCCUCCACAGCAAAUUCUACUUUAAAGGCCAUCAUACAUAACAGACUUUAAAUUCUUAUGUGAAAGUUAUGCUAAAUAAUAGAAUUGACUAAACAGAAAAGUACAUGUGCAGCUGCUGACACUUGUGGCCUAUGGAGAAAUACAUCAAAUGUAGAUUAUAAAAAUUCAGUUUUAUGGGAUUAAUGAAAAGACCACUCAGUCAAGUGAAUAGACUCUUUAUCUAGCUCAUUCUUUAAUCUAUUUAACUUUAUGUGGUUUGGUUUAUGGGGACCCUGGGUAAGGAGCAUACUCCAAACUCUUGGUAUUAUCCUCCCGAUAGUCAUAACAAUAGCCUCCUUAGUGCUCUCUGUUCUCUAAAAGGUUUUAAAUGUUUGCAUGCAGCCAUCUCUAGAACGUCAAGUAGUCUCUCUUCAAGUGGAAUGACAAAAACUGAAAGAAAUGUGCGACCAUGAGGACAUUGUACCCUAUGAAUGACAUGCUGGGACUGGAAACCCAAAAUGACGGUAACUGAGAGUGGUGCUAAGGCCCUAAGUUUUGGUUACACUCUCACCUAAGUGAGAACCUGGCCAAAAAGGGGGAAUUUUUUUUUUUUUGAGAUGGAGUCUGGCUCUGUCGCCCAGGCUGGAGUGCAGUGGCGCGAUCUCGGCUCACUGCAAGCUCCGCCUCCCGGGUUCAUGCCAUUUUCCUGCCUCAGCCUCCCAAGUAGCUGGGACUACAGGUGCCUGCCACCUCGCCCAGUUAAUUUUUUGUAUUUUUAGUAGACACGGAGUUUCACCGUGUUAGCCAGGAUGGUCUCGAUCUCCUGACCUCGUGAUCUGCCCACCUUGGCCUCUCAAAGUGCUGGAGAUGACAGGCGUGAGCCACUGCACCCAGCCCAAAAGGGGGAAUUUUUCUAAACAAAAUUAUGAGAGGCCAUUAUUUUGCACUGAGCUCAUGCACUAGGCCCCGACAAACGAAACCAAACUAAAAUGAAGUCACUCGUGUUAAAUGUGACAUAAUCAAACUAAGGCUUUAAAGAAACAUAGAUCCUAGAACAGAUCAGGUUUUGUUUUUGUCCUGUAAACAGGAUGUUCCAGCAUAGGGAGGUAGCUUCUACUCAGUCUUUAUUCUUUCCUUGGAAAACCCACUGCUCUUCUGUUUCCCAGUGGGUUUCAAAACCAUGUAAGUACAUUUACAAUAGUGAUAGUAGUUAUCAAUUAAUGAGGUUUUGGUCAAUCUCUCAAAAUUGAGAAAAUGACCAAAAGGGGGGAAUUGUUAAAGCAAACUAAAUGUGGCCUUAGAAGGACUCUGUAUUUCUAUGUUUGAGUCCUUGUGGAUGAACUGUAACCUAGCUUAAUAGUCAGACAAAAUUGAAAACCUAACUUAGUAGUAUGCGCCUGAAACAAUAGCUGAGUGUUGGCCAAUCCCAGUGACCAUACUUCAACCACUCAUAGACUGCUGAAUGUUCAAACUCCAUUCAAAUAAGGCAAACUCUGAGCUGUAACCAACCUCACUGUUUCAGUACCUCACUUCUGAUUCCUGUACGUCACUUUACCUUUUUUGUCUAUAAAUUUAUUCUGACCAUGAGGCACCCCUGGAGUCUUUGUGAAUCUGUUGUGAUUCUGGGGGCUGCCCAAUUCGCAAAUCGUUCAUUGCUCAAACUCUUUUAAAUUUAAUUCCGCUGAAGUUUUUCUUUUAUCAUAAUUUAAACCUUUUUUUCAGUGGUAUGCAUAUAUGAAUAAGUGUGUGUGUGUGUGUGUGUGUGUGUGUGUUAGAUACACAGGGAGAGACAUUUGUGUGUAUUUGUACUUAGAUACAUUAUUCAUAAAAUUUAAUAAAGAAGAAAACCAGAACUGGUCAUUACUUUUUAUCAUCUGUACCUUCUCAUCCCAGAAUUUGUUUAGGGCACAGAGACUGCAUUGUUAAGUAGUAUCUGAUUCACAGCCUACCAUUUUAGUUUUCCUUGGAUCCCAGAGAUCAAGACACCAGCUCAUACCUGCUACUAGACCUGAAUCUUCCAGAGUGAGUCUAGAAAACUCUAGGCCUUCGAGAUGUUCUGAGAAAGAAGAGUUCCUUGUCAAAUAAAUUAGAGAAACGCUGCAUAUUCCCUGCCAGUCUUUGAGAAUCAUAGAUACCAAAUGGUAUAUUCAAGGCUCUGAUAUGUCCUGUGAUAAAGAUUCUUAUUUCACUUUAACACAGUAUUUUCCAAAUUUACAUGAAGUCUUCCUUUUAUUUUGAAAAGUAAUACACAGUAAAAUUAACUUUUUUUGGUAUAUAGUUCCAUAAAAUUGCACACAUACACAGAUUCAUGUAAUCAUCACCACAGUCAAGAUACAGAACAGUUUCAUCCCACCCCAAAACUCCCUGUGCUGUCCCUUUAUAGUCAGCACCCCUCCCUGUCCACCUCUGGCAACUAUGAAUCUGUUUUCCACCACAGUAGUUUUCUUUUUUUCCAAGAAUGUCAUAUUUUGGACAUACAGAUGGAAUCAUACACCAUGUAGCCUUUGUAACUGUCUUUUUUCACUCAGGGAAUGCCUCUGGGACAUAUCUGUGUUAUAUGUAUGAAUAGUUAGGUCUUUUUUGUUGCUGAGUCAUAUUCCAUAGUGUGAAUAUACCAAAAUUUGCUUAUCCUGUUGAAGGAUAUUUCUAGGCUUUGGUGAGUAUGAAUAGAGCUGCUAGAAACAUUCACGUACAGGUGUUUGUGUGAACUUAAAUUUUCACUUUCUUGAGGAAUGGGAUUGCUGGGCCGUAUGGUAAGUGUAUGUAAACAAUUUUUUACUUGUUUUAAUCUAUUAAGAUGGCAGUCCCCAACCUUUUUGGUACCAGGGACUCGUUUUGUGGAAGACAAUUUCCAUGGACGGUGGGGGGUGAUGGGGGGAUGGUCUCAGGAUGAAGCUGUUCCACCCCAGAUCAUCAGGCAUUGGAUUCUCAUAAGGAGCAUGCAACCUACAUCCCUUGCAUGUGCAGUUCACAAUAGGGUUCACAGUCCUGUGAGAAUCUAAUGCCACGCCGAUGCAACAGGAGGUGGAGCUCAGGUGGUAAUGCUCCCUUGCCCACCACUCACCUCCUGCUGUGCAGCCCUGUUCCUAAUAGGCCACGGGGACUGGCACCAGUCCACGGCCCAGGGGUUGGGGACCCCUGUAUUAAGAUCCCACAUCACCAGGGUUUCAUAGAACAUGCUAUUAACAUCCUACAGACCUAGUCUUUCAUGGAACCCACUUUGGGAAGGCCUUGUGUGCUGCCACUUAACGCACUUGGAAAGUCCAAUCCACCUUAAAUCCAUCUCACGUACCCAAAUCUUGCUGAGGUUCGGCCACAACUCCCACCACACUCCCCUUUGUUGAGUGCCUACUGCCAGACAUUGGUAUCAUUAUCUCAUUUAAUUGAACUCACACCACAAUCUACGAUUUUACAGCUGAGGAAACUGAGGCCCAGAGAGGCUAAAUGAGUAGCCUAAGUUUCCAUAGCUGGUAAGUAGCUAAGAUUUGAACCCUGGUAUCUUAUCUCCAAGAUCAGUGCUUCCUCUCCUAUCCUACUUACUUGCCUUUUUCUUCCUUUCCUUCUUUAAACAUUUAUUAUUAUUAUUAUUAUUAUUUUUUAAGUUGUAUUUCAGGUUCAGUGGUAUGUGUGCAGUUUUGUUACAUAGGUAAGCUUGUGUUACAGAGGUUUGUUGUGCAGAUUAUUUUGUCACCUAGGUACUAAGCCUAGUACCCAAAAAUUUUUUCUGAUCCUCUCCCUCCUCUCACCCUCCACCCUCUGAUAGGCCCCAGUGGGUAUUAUUCCCCUCUAUGUGUCCAUGUGUUCUCCUCAUUUAGCUCCCACUUAUAAGGUAUUGGGUUUUCUGUUCCUGUGUUAGUUUGCUGAGGAUAAUGGCCACCAGCUCCAUCCGUGUUCCCGUAAAAGACAUGAUCUGAUUCUUUUUCGUGGCUGCAUAGUAUCUUUGAACAUUUUUAUCUGGGUUUGUGGUUGGUUGUAGACCAGCACCAACAAAUGACAAACCCGACUGCUGUCACUUCCCACUUCUAUGCUCAUGGCAGACAUCAUUAACUGAAUUUCAUCUUCUCUUUUUCACUCAGUCCUGAUGCAUCCUUCUCCAGACAACUAUCGGUUGGUCAGAGUUAGCACUUGAGCUAAUUACCAUUCACUGUUUUGUCCUUGUAUUAGUUAUCUAUUGCUAUAUAACAAACUACCUCAAAACACAGUGGCUUAAAAAUAGUAAAAAUCACUUAUGAUCACUCAUGAUUUCUAUGGGUCAGGAAUUCAGACAGCAGAGCAGAAUGGCCAUCCCUGUUCCACCAUGCCUGGGGUCAUGUUCACUGGAAGACUUGAAGGCUGGGGCUGAAGUCCUCUGAAGGCUUGUCCACUCUCUUGUCUGGUGGCUGAUUCUGACUGUUGGCUGAGGGCUAGCUGGGGCUGUUGUCUGAACACCCACAUGUGUUUUCUCCAUGUGACUUGGGCUUCCUUGUCAUAUGACACCUUGGUUCCAAAAGCUGGCAUCUCAGGAGAGUGAGAGGCAAGUAGAAGUAACAAAGCAUUACUUCCACCACGUUCUAUUUUUUAGAAGUAAGUCACUAAGUCUGGCUCAUUUUCAAAGGGCAGUAAUUAGAUUCUACUUUAAAAAAUGUAUAUAUUACAUAUACUGUCUGUAUAUACACACUAUAUAUAUAUAAUGUGAACAUAUUUUCAUUAUUCAGAGUAAAUUUUUAUGUAUAGUGCAUUAGCAAGGUCUCUUUCAGAAAGUGACAGAUACUCAAAAAGGGAAUUUAUUGGUUUACUUAACUGAGAAGUUCAAGGUGAUCAAUUUGUCAUGACUGGAUCCAGGGCCUCAAGGAGUGUUGUUAGGAUACAGUCUCUCACUCUCGGUCUCUGUAUUAGUCUGUUCUUGCACUGCUAUAAAGAAAUACCUAAGACUGUGUAAUUUGUAAAUAAAAGAGGUUUAAUUGGCUCAUGGUUCUGCAGGCUGUACAGGAAGCAUAGCAGCUUCUGCUGCUGAGGAGACCUCAGGAAGCUUCCAAUCAUGGCGGAAAGCAAAGGGGGAGCGAGUCGUCUCACAUGGCAGGAGCAGGAGCAAGAGAGAGAGGUGGGGGAGGUGCUGCACACUUUUAAACAGCCAGAUCUCAGAAUAACUCACUCACUAUCACAAGAACCAGCACCAAGGGGAUAGUGUUAAACCAUUCAUGAGAAAUCCACCUCCAUGAUCCAACCACCUCCCACCAGGCCCCACCUCCAACAUUGGGUACUGCAGUUUGACAUUGAGAUUUGGUGGGGAACACAGAUCCAAACCAUAUAUAUCAGUUUUCCUCUAUAUUUUAGCCCUACUUCCUUCUCUGUUGGCUUUAUUCUCAGGGAAGCUCUACCUGGGAGAUGGUCCGGAUGGACAUGCCAGCUCCAAGUUUACUUACCAGGUUAACAAGCCCAGAGGGCCAUGUCUCCUCUUUUUCCAUAGCUCCAGGAAAGCACCAAGAUUGGCACUGAUUAGCCUGCAUUGGGUCACACACUCACCCCUGAGCCAAUCCAUGUGACAGGGAAUCCAGACCCAGCCAGUUGGCAUGAACUAGGUUGGGGGAAUUUGUUCCUCAAAAGGAUGAGACCAGCUUUGUUCUCAGAAGAAGGCUGCUAGACAAAAACAAAAGAUGUUCCCUGUGCACGGUGACAUGCUUUUGACUCGGGGCUUUCUCUGCUCCCUGCUCCCCUGAGCCUGUCCUGGCUUUGCACUUCUUACUCUCACAGUCAUGUUCCUGCUCAACCGCAGACACUCUGAGUCUCUGCCCCAGGAGGACAACUAAAGGGCAAACACACCCUUUCUAGUAUAAGGUCUAGCUCUUGACUGCCAAUACUUUGAUUUACUUCCAUAACUCCCUGGAUUCCUGACUCCUAAUCUAGUGAGAAUUUGAGGGAUUCAGAUCGCUUUGGUUUUGGAGUUAAUUUUCUGCACUCCUUACCUGUCUCUCAUAGUCAGGAAAUGAUUACUCCUUGACCUGCGACCUUGACUUUGAACCUCUUGACUUCUUAGUCCCUGGUGUUUACAUACCUGUUAACUUUUACUUUCCUUGAAUCCCGUCUCUUGGUUUUUUUCCUCUGCCUGUUACCACCCAUUCUGGCCCUUGCUGUCAUCUGCUGUGCAGUUGUCAGUUGAGGACUGAUUUCUAUGCCUUGUGUCCACAUCUUGAAUUAAUAGUAUCUCUUGGCCCAAAUGAUUUCCUAACACACAUCCCCUGAUGAGUAUUCUGGGUCAUACCUUCUGCACUGACAGGCCUCCCUCUGUCCCUUUCUCUUUUGGAGGACAAGCUAAGGUACAAAGGAAUGAGCCUUGAAUUCAGAACCAGCAUCGCUGGGUUUGGCAUUAUGUGACUUUAGGCAAGGCUUUUUAAUCUCUCUGAGCCUGUUUUCUUAUUUGUAAAAUGGAGUGAAUGACAUCUACUUCACAGGAUUGCCUUGAAGAUUAAACAGGAGAAUGCAGGCAUUGCAAGAUAAUAAUUCUAAAAUACUAAUAUGUGUGUGUAUGUAUUUAAAAUGAAUGUAUUUUUUCCCCUUUUAAGCAUCUCCCUUUAUUCAGUUUUGUCCCCUCAAGCAGGCAAGCCAUUCUGUGCUUAUUGACUCAGGGAAGAAAAUGGCAGAUCAGAAAAAACAAAAUAAGGAUCUUCCUGGCUUUGAUUUUCUUUCUUUCUUUUCUUUUCUUUCUUUUUUUUCUUGAGAUGCGGUCUCAGUCUGUCACCCAGGCUGGAGUGCAGGUGUGUGAUCACAGGUCACUGCAGCCUCGACCUCCCAGGCUCAAGCGAUCCCCCCAUCUCAGCCUCCUAAGUAGCUACAACUACAGGCACAUGCUGCUAUGCCUGGCUAUUUAAAUUUUUUUUUUUUUUGUACAGAUGGGGUCUUGCUAUGUUACUGAGGCUUGUCUUAAACUCCUGGGCUCAAGUGAUCCUCUGCCUCAGCCUCUCAAAGUGCUGGGAUUACAGGUAUGAGCCACGGCACCUGGCCCUGGCUUGAUUUUCAAAAGCUUUAAGUUCUCAGGGGACUAUUGAGGGCACCUGCAUGUGGCCAAAAUAAGUGAGGGCAAGGGGGUUGAAGAGAGUCCCCCUCAGACUAGCAAACAUUCCACUGCUCUGGGCAGAGAAGCGGGGUAGGUAGCAGGGGGAAGGAGGAAAGAGGAGGUGUGAUGAAAGCAGAUAUACAGCCAGCCCCAGAGAGAGGGGCCCUGUGCCCUGCUUUCUGUGUGGAGCCCUGUGGAGCAGAAAGGACAUGGCUGGGUAGUAAGCCGGUAGAUUCUGGGUUCCCAGUGUGGCCCAGAAAGGGUGCUGGGCUGGAGGUGAGGGACAUGUCGGUGGUGAUGAGUGAGGACUGGUGCCUAUGGGCCAGACAAGGUGAUGAAAUUGUCUGACAAUUUCAACAGACAACUGCAUGGAUAGACAACAGCAAGGACCAGAAUGCACCACUCUCCCUCCCAUGAUUCUCCAUAAACACCGAGAACCUGGAGGCAUUCCCUGAAAGUGGGAAGAAGAUUUCAAAUUAGCGGAGGUUAUAUAUUUGCCACUCUAGUCGGAUAGGGGCUAAAAAUGAAAUUGAAAUGUUAUAUUUUGUGUACAACUGUGCAGUAGAUUAAGAACCAUAACCAGCACCUGUAGAAAGCAUGUAGCCUGUAUCCAUAGGUGGGUACCACAAUAUGUUUACUGAGUCUGAAUCCAGAUGUUGUUGAGCCUUUGAAUAUGUCCAAUGUCUUGCUUGAUGUGUGAGGCCUGAUGGAGUCACUCCCCGUAUCAGUGGUUUUCAAGUGUGGUCCCUGGACCAGCAGCAUCAGCAUCAGAGGGCACUUGUUAGAAAUGCACAUUCUCAGGCCUUGUCCUGGAGUGACUGAAUUGGAAAGUCUCUCAGGUCUUUCUGAUGCAUACUAGAGUUUGAGAACCUCCCUUCUACAUCACUUCUGUUUUCUCUUCUUACACUCUCAGUUUCUCAGACUUAUUCUUAGAUUUAAAUAGCCAACUUACUGAUUGACACUUGACCAGCUUUAGCUUUGGGCCAGCCACACAUUUUAAGCUUUUACUCUGAAGACAGGAGAGAGCUUCUGAUUUUACCCAGAGCUUUUGGCAUAGCUAUCCCAGUUUCAUUGAGGAUCUAGUUUCUGGAAGGAAAACAGUGAGAUGGGGAGAAGACCCUUUAGUAAAUGAGAAGGAAUUGCAGGCAAACAUGAUCUUAAAAACCUUUACCAAAUCUUCAUGGAGCCGGUGAACUUCACAGGGAACGAUUUUGUAGCCAGGCCAGCUCCUAGGGAAAUUUACGGCCGAAAUAUUUCCCUGUUUCUGGGUCAGGAAGUGAUAGCACACAGAUGGAAUUUACAAUGGGAGCGUGAAUGGAGUCUACGUUAGCUGGUGGCCCCUCCAAGGCUGCAGAGCAAAGGCGCUUUUCACUGGCUCUAUUCACAUAUAAUGAGUGCUCCCCAGGCUCUCGGAAGAACGCGGCUGCUGGCUGGCCCCUUUUUCUUUUUCCUCGACUGCUUUCACUUUUCAGAGGGUUGCCCUGUUGCGGUCCACUUGGGAUUGGUGUGAGCCUUGAUUUGGCAGGAGAAAGGAAGAAGUACACGGUGGCCUACAGAAUUGAAUUCUCUGCCUCUCUGGCCCCUUUCCUUGAAUAAUAGGCCUUUGUGCUUUGAAAUGCAGGGAAGUCCCAGUUUCUCAGGCUUUAAAAAAACUCAGACCUUCCUCUAACCUCCUCUCCCGCCUUCAGAUGCUUAGCAGGGAGUAGUUAAGGGGGCAGAACAAUUAUCAAAUCAAGUAUUUCUUUAAUGUUAGAAAUUGCUUGGAUAGUUGAUUUCUAAACAAUAUAUGUGAUGCAUUCCUUCAGAUGGACAAAAAUAUUGGCUUAACUUAAAAAUUCAGCUUAAAAAAUUAUAUGAGAUUGCUAUAUUAAUUUUUUUUUGUUUUUGAGAUGGAGUCUCUGUCACCAGGCUGGAGUGCAGUGGUGCGAUCUCAGCUCACUGCAACCUCCGCCUCCUGGGUUCAAGCCAUUCUCCUGCCUCAGCCUCCCGAGUAGCUGGGACUGCAAGGCAUGCGCCACCAUGCCCAGC
rnacentral:lncRNA from 10 species